rnacentral:lncRNA from 1 species
UAUCGGUCCAACUAAGGAUUUCUGUGAAAAACUCCUCAUAAGUUAUGUUUGCCUUGACCUGUAUCUCUUGGUGAGGAAUAAUGUGAGAAGUGUAAAGGUACUUGUGACAUCCCAAAUACUAAUUAAGGCAUAAGGGUUCCAGAUACAGAAAUAGAUUACGAGCGCAUAAUAGAUAAAUAAAUACAACAGAACAAAAAAACUUGCAAAUCU